UACAGAGGGUGCGAGCGUUACUCGGAAUUACUGGGCGUAAAGCGCGCGUAGCCGGUCAUUUAAGUCGGUUGUGAAAGCCCCGGGCUCAACCUGGGAAUUGCAUUCGAGACUGAAUAGCUAGGGUACGGUAGAGGGAAGCGGAAUUUCCGGUGUAACGGUGAAAUGCGUAGAUAUCGGAAGGAACAUCAGUGGCGAAAGCGGCUUCCUGGACCGGUAUUGACGCUGAGGUGCGAAAGCGUGGGGAGCAAACAGG
rnacentral:rRNA from 1 species